rnacentral:rRNA from 1 species
GGGCCUGAUAUAAGAUUUGGCCUGCCCAUGAAUAUUUUAAUGGCUGCAGUAUUUUGACUGUACAAAGGUAGCAUAAUCAUUUGUCUUUUAAUUGAAGUCUGGAAUGAAUGGUUUGAUGAAAAAUUUACUUUCUUUAUUUUAAAUAAAUAAUUUGAUUUUUUAAUUAAAAAGUUGAAAUUUUAAUAUAGGACGAGAAGACCCUAUAGAACUUUAUUUUAAUUAAAAAAAUAUAGUUUUGGUAAUGAAUUUUUGUUUUUUUAAAAAAAUUUUGUUGGGGUGAUAGAAAAAAUUUUUUAACUUUUUUUUAUUUUAUCAUUAAUAUAUGAUUUUUUGAUCCUUUAUUAUGGAAAAAAAGAUUAAGUUACCUUAGGGAUAACAGCGUUAUUAUUUUAGAGAGUUCAUAUCGAUAAAAUAGUUUGCGACCUCGAUGUUGGAUUAAAAUAAGUUUCAGGAGUAGAAUAUUGAAUACUAGGUCUGUUCGACCUUUAAAUUUUUACAUGAUCUGAGUUCAACCGGGAUGACUUGAUUUGUUCAAACAUGUUUUGGGUACCCACGGUCGGUUUGGUAUUGAAAACGGACGGUACACUCCCCGG